rnacentral:rRNA from 1 species
ACCGUUAUAACCGACGAUACCCGAAUGGGGAAACCCAGUGCAAUUCGUUGCACUAUUGCAUGGUGAAUACAUAGCCAUGCAAGGCGAACCGGGGGAACUGAAACAUCUAAGUACCCCGAGGAAAAGAAAUCAACCGAGAUUCCCCCAGUAGCGGCGAGCGAACGGGGAGGAGCCCAGAACCUGAAUCAGCGUAUGUGUUAGUGGAAGCGUCUGGAAAGUCGCACGGUACAGGGUGAUAGUCCCGUACACAAAAAUGCAUAUGUUGUGAGUUCGAUGAGUAGGGCGGGACACGUGACAUCCUGUCUGAAUAUGGGGGGACCAUCCUCCAAGGCUAAAUACUCCUGACUGACCGAUAGUGAACCAGUACCGUGAGGGAAAGGCGAAAAGAACCCCGGCGAGGGGAGUGAAACAGAACCUGAAACCGUGUACGUACAAGCAGUGGGAGCACCUUCGUGGUGUGACUGCGUACCUUUUGUAUAAUGGGUCAGCGACUUAUAUUUUGUAGCAAGGUUAACCGAAUAGGGGAGCCGUAGGGAAACCGAGUCUUAACUGGGCGAAUAGUUGCAAGGUAUAGACCCGAAACCCGGUGAUCUAGCCAUGGGCAGGUUGAAGGUUGGGUAACACUAACUGGAGGACCGAACCGACUAAUGUUGAAAAAUUAGCGGAUGACUUGUGGCUGGGGGUGAAAGGCCAAUCAAACCGGGAGAUAGCUGGUUCUCCCCGAAAGCUAUUUAGGUAGCGCCUCGUGAACUCAUCUUCGGGGGUAGAGCACUGUUUCGGCUAGGGGGUCAUCCCGACUUACCAAACCGAUGCAAACUCCGAAUACCGAAGAAUGUUAUCACGGGAGACACACGGCGGGUGCUAACGUCCGUCGUGAAGAGGGAAACAACCCAGACCGCCAGCUAAGGUCCCAAAGUCAUGGUUAAGUGGGAAACGAUGUGGGAAGGCACAGACAGCCAGGAUGUUGGCUUAGAAGCAGCCAUCAUUUAAAGAAAGCGUAAUAGCUCACUGGUCGAGUCGGCCUGCGCGGAAGAUGUAACGGGGCUAAACCAUGCACCGAAGCUGCGGCAGCGAACGUAUCACUUAAAACGCUUAACGUGACGGCAAAGCCGGCAUGUUCAAGCCACACUAAACGUUGAGUUGGCCGGUGUGCUGACAAACGAACAGGCGUUUUAAGGAUACGUUCGUUGGGUAGGGGAGCGUUCUGUAAGCCGUUGAAGGUGGUCUGUGAGGGCUGCUGGAGGUAUCAGAAGUGCGAAUGCUGACAUAAGUAACGAUAAUGCGGGUGAAAAACCCGCACGCCGGAAGACCAAGGGUUCCUGUCCAACGUUAAUCGGGGCAGGGUGAGUCGACCCCUAAGGCGAGGCUGAAAAGCGUAGUCGAUGGGAAACAGGUUAAUAUUCCUGUACUUGGUGUUACUGCGAAGGGGGGACGGAGAAGGCUAGGCUAGCCGGGCGACGGUUGUCCCGGUUUAAGCAUGUAGGCGGAGUGACCAGGUAAAUCCGGUUGCUUAUCAACGCUGAGGUGUGAUGACGAUGCACUACGGUGCAGAAGUAGUUGAUGCCAUGCUUCCAGGAAAAGCCUCUAAGCAUCAGGUAACAUGAAAUCGUACCCCAAACCGACACAGGUGGUCAGGUAGAGAAUACUCAGGCGCUUGAGAGAACUCGGGUGAAGGAACUAGGCAAAAUGGUGCCGUAACUUCGGGAGAAGGCACGCUGGCAUUA